rnacentral:rRNA from 1 species
GACGAACGCUGGCGGCGUGCUUAACACAUGCAAGUCGAGCGGUAAGGCCCUUUCGGGGGUACACGAGCGGCGAACGGGUGAGUAACACGUGGGUGACCUGCCCUUAGCUCUGGGAUAAGCCUGGGAAACUGGGUCUAAUACCGGAUAUGACCUCACAGCGCAUGUUGUGGGGUGGAAAGCCUUGUGCGGCUAGGGGAUGGGCCCGNGGCCUAUCAGCUUGUUGGUGGGGUGAUGGCCACCAAGGCGACGACGGGUAGCCGGCCUGAGAGGGCGACCGGCCACACUGGGACUGAGACACGGCCCAGACUCCUACGGGAGGCAGCAGUGGGGAAUCUUGCGCAAUGGGCGAAAGCCUGACGCAGCGACGCCGCGUGAGGGAUGACGGCCU